rnacentral:rRNA from 1 species
GACGAACGCUGGCGGCGUGCUUAACACAUGCAAGUCGAACGGAAAGGCCCUGCUUUUGUGGGGUGCUCGAGUGGCGAACGGGUGAGUGACACGUGAGUAACCUGCCCUUGACUUUGGGAUAACUUCAGGAAACUGGGGCUAAUACCGGAUAGGAGCUCCUGCUGCAUGGUGGGGGUUGGAAAGUUUCGGCGGUUGGGGAUGGACUCGCGGCUUAUCAGCUUGUUGGUGGGGUAGUGGCUUACCAAGGCUUUGACGGGUAGCCGGCCUGAGAGGGUGACCGGCCACAUUGGGACUGAGAUACGGCCCAGACUCCUACGGGAGGCAGCAGUGGGGAAUAUUGCACAAUGGGCGGAAGCCUGAUGCAGCAACGCCGCGUGCGGGAUGACGGCCUUCGGGUUGUAAACCGCUUUCGCCUGCGACGAAGCGUGAGUGACGGUAAUGGGUAAAGAAGCACCGGCUAACUACGUG